rnacentral:rRNA from 1 species
UACGUAGGGCGCAAGCGUUGUCCGGAUUUAUUGGGCGUAAAGAGCUCGUAGGCGGUUUGUCGCGUCUUCCGUGAAAACUGGGGGCUUAACUUCCAGCUUGCGGUGGAUACGGGCUGACUGGAGUGCGGCAGGGGAGACUGGAAUUCCUGGUGUAGCGGUGAAAUGCGCAGAUAUCAGGAGGAACACCGAUUGCGAAGGCAGCUCGCUGGAACGUUACUGACGCUGAGACGCGAAAGCGUGGGGAGCAAACAGG